rnacentral:rRNA from 1 species
AGUGAACGCUGGCGGUAGGCCUAACACAUGCAAGUCGAACGGCAGCACAGUAAGAGCUUGCUCUUACGGGUGGCGAGUGGCGGACGGGUGAGGAAUACAUCGGACUCUACUUUUUCGUGGGGGAUAACGUAGGGAAACUUACGCUAAUACCGCCUACGACCUACGGGUGAAAGCAGGGGAUCUUCGGACCUUGCGCGAUUGAAUGAGCCGAUGUCGGAUUAGCUAGUUGGCGGGGUAAAGGCCCACCAAGGCGACGAUCCGUAGCUGGUCUGAGAGGAUGAACAGCCACACUGGAACUGAGACACGGUCCAGACUCCUACGGGAGGCAGCAGUGGGGAAUAUUGGACAAUGGGCGCAAGCCUGAUCCAGCCAUACCGCGUGGGUGAAGAAGGCCUUCGGGUUGUAAAGCCCUUUUGUUGGGAAAGAAAAGCAGCAGGUUAAUACCCCGCUGUUCUGACGGUACCCAAAGAAUAAGCACCGGCUAACUUCGUG